UACGUAGGGGGCAAGCGUUGUCCGGAAUUAUUGGGCGUAAAGAGCUCGUAGGCGGUCUGUUGCGUCCGCUGUGAAAACUCGGGGCUUAACCCCGAGCCUGCAGUGGAUACGGGCAGACUAGAGGUAGGUAGGGGAGAAUGGAAUUCCCGGUGUAGCGGUGAAAUGCGCAGAUAUCGGGAGGAACACCGGUGGCGAAGGCGGUUCUCUGGGCAUGAUCUGACGCUGAGGAGCGAAAGUGUGGGGAGCGAACAGG
rnacentral:rRNA from 1 species